AUCUGGAUGACGAGUCCCAAAUAGGACGAAACGCGUGUCCUCGAU
rnacentral:hammerhead_ribozyme from 1 species